AGGACACAGGGUGGCACAGGGCAGGGCGUGGAACCCCAAGGGCUCGCCGUGGCUCCUGAAAGGUGAGAGCCGUUUACCAGGUGGCCCUGGGAAAAGGAUACCGCACCUGAGACUGCAGGAUGUGGAAAGGCCCAGAAACUCAAAGAGCUGCUGGAGACCUUACACAGACCUUUCAGAAGGAGGGUACCUACAAGGAUGAGACGAAUGGUGGGGGGUCACCGCGGGAGAAGGUUAGAGACAUGGGCAGGGGGUCAAAGUCGAGAUUGAUUUAGGAAUUCGGUGUGGAGCAGGGUUAAAGUUUGGAUUGGGUUUAGGAUGAGAGAUUGGAGCUUGAAAUCCAAUCAUUUCGUUUUCACCUGCCUUUUCCAGAAGGAUUUCACCUGGCCCGUCUCAGUGAUAAGCACCUGGGGUUAGGGCUGCCAAGAACCUAAGGAUCAGGGACUGGCUUUAGGGUUGAGACUCCAGGCGCAGUAAAAUCAAAGUUCUGGAGGAAGCAAAACCAGUAUUUGCUGCGUGGGGCCUGCCUUUCCCGCCUGGAAGCGGGGAGGUUCUCCCUGUGUGGUGGUGGGCACGCCCACUAAACCCUGAUGGGCCUUCAAGCCCACUGGUUAAACCCCUGGGCGGAAUAGGAUGCUGUUCUAUAUCGUCAGCAUCUUCUUGGGCCAGGCACCGCGGGCGGUCCAGAUGUUCGCAUCUGCUCCAGACACCACCCUAGUGUUGAGCAGGAAUGGAACAGCCUGGCCAGCCACCUGAAUACAGUAGGUGCUCCAUCAAGAGAGAAGAACCAGACCUUGAUGCUUUAAGAGGAAGUGCUUCCUCCUCCCCCCAAAUGAAGGCACCCCGCGGGGUCUCCUCUUUCCCCUUGACUGGCCGGGUUCUGGGGGAGUGAAGAGCAGAGCCCGUCCUCCAAUGCUAUGCUCCUUCCACAAAGAAGACACAGACCCAGCAGGACCUCACCUCGGUGGUGCAGACACUCCUGCAGCAGGUGCAAGACCAAUGUCAGGCCAUGUCCGCCCGGAUUGCUGGAAGAACUGAGACCUGAGCAGUCGCCUUGAUGACCUGGAGAAACACACUGCAGAACUCAUGACAGGCUGGGGUGGAGGAACUGGAAGCUGAAAACAAGACCGUGGUUACACAAAGGAGUUAGCAGUUGCUAAUGUACACUGAAAUCUGGGACAUUGUGCUUACAAGCCACGAGAAGACCAAAUGGCUUUUUUUGCAACUAACUACUAUGUGUAGACAGUGUUAUAAGUGUGCAUUCUCCUUAUCAUAUACUAUAUAGUUUAUAGAGUGAGUCUCUCUCACCCUGUUUCUUUUUAAAAAUGUAUAUUUUUAAAUUUAUUUCAGAGAGGAAGAGAGAGAGAGAGAGAACAUCAAUGAUGAGAGAGAAACAUUGAUUGGCUGCUUCCUGCCUGCCCCACACUGGGAACUGAGCCCGCAACCCAGGCAUGUGCCCUGACUGGGAAUCGAACCAUGACCUCCUGGUUCAUAGGUCGACGCUCAACCACUCAGCCAUGCUGGCUGGGCCCACCCCAUUACUUGAACAUGAUAACUUCACAGCUGGAUCCUUGGUUGGUUGUGCUAUUAAAUAUUAAACACACACACACACACACACACACACAGAAACUACUCAUAUUAGCACAUAAUCACGUAAAACAAAAUGUUAUGCCCUAAUUUUUAUGCCUCCAAAUUGGUUUUUAAUAUAACCUUUUUUGUUAUGUUGA